UAAUGCAUCUAUAAAUAAUAUUUAUAAUUAUGUUUUAAAGUUACACAUAAAUUUCAUACUGUACAAAUAGUUUUUCAAGUUGUUUUCCCUGGAAAUUUGUUUGUAAGAUUUACCCAUGUUGGGUCAGGGUUUUAGCUCGGUGAUGCUGCUGCCUGCCUUGCAAGCACAAGGUCCUGAAUUCAGUCCCCGGUACCACCCCCCAAAAACAUUCACCCAUGUUGAUGUAUGCAGAUGGAUUAGGUCAUUCAUUGUCACUGCUGGGUAGAAUUACACUGUACAAAUAAAUCAGGUUUAUUUGGCCUUUUUUUGCCACUAAGGGGAGGUUAGUUUCAGUGCUUUCAAUUAGAGAAAUAAUAUGCUGAGCAGCCUUCCUUAUAUUUUCUUGGGAAUAUUUGCAAGACUUUCUCUAUGAUAGACAAAUCCAACAAAUGUGCUGGGCCCUAGAGCUUUCACCUCUCCAAAAUGGCUACAUAGUACCAACUUAUUCACCAGUAAUAUUCAAAAGUUCCUGUUUCGCCUAUCCUCCCUGCAUUAGUUUUCUAGGGCUCCCAUAAAAAGUACUGUGCAAUGAGUGGUUUGGUGGCAGAAAUUAUUUUCUAACCAGCCCAAGAUUAAAUUGUUGCCGGGGUUGGUUGGUUCUCUGACAUCUUUCCUUAGCUUGCUGAUGGACUGUUUUCUCUGUCUUCACAUGACCGUCCCUCUGUGGACCUGUGCCCUGAUUUCUUCUUGUUGUAAUGACACCGGUUAGAUUAAGGGCCACCCUAAUGACUUCAUUUUAUCUUAUGUCUACAGAAACUGUCUUCAAAUAUAUCACCCUCUGAGGUACUGAGAGCAAGGACUUUAACACGAACUGAGGCGAUGAGAUGAUGUAAUACAGCUCAUAACAUUUGCUGUGUCAGUUAAUUGUCAGUUUAACUGGAUUGGGACUCUGGGAGAAGUGAUUGGAUAAUGGAGGAGUUGCUGAACAUGCUGUUAGGAGAUUUUUUUCUGGAGAAAAGAAGCAGCCUGCUUCUACUUUAACUGAAAUUGAAGUUAAAUUGGCAAAUUUAUUUCAAUCUGAAUUUCUCACACUCUUGACUACUUUCAACUGAAAGCCUGAAAACUACCAGCUGCUCAAUAUGCUUAUGGAAGGAAAAAGAAAAUGAAAAGGACAGAAAGCAUUAUACAAUUGACAUAGAAA